ensembl:snRNA U6 U6 spliceosomal RNA
GUGCUUGCUUCAGCGUCACAUAUACUAAAAUUGGAACAAUACAGAGAAGAUGAACAUGGCUCUUGCUCAAGGAU